AGGAAGGAAUGGGGCAACGGUAGGUCAGCAUGCCCCGAAUUAUCUGGGCUACACGCGGGCUACAAUGGGUGGGACAAUGGGUAUCGACACCGAAAGGUGAAGGCCAAUCUCCUAAACCCAUCCGUAGUUCGGAUUGUGGGCUGCAACUCGCCCACAUGAAGCUGGAAUCUGUAGUAAUCGUGUCUCAAAAUGGCACGGUGAAUAUGUCCCUGCUCCUU
rnacentral:rRNA from 1 species